ensembl:lncRNA
GUUUCCAUCACCCCCUUAGUGGCCAACCCAGACCCUGCACUUCUGAAGAGCCUGCAGACUCAGACUGACAGUCUGGAGAGGGCUCGUCUCAGACAGCUCCACUCUCAGGAGGACCGCAUAGCCAAGGAGGCUAAGAGCCAGGGCCGUGCGGUACAUAUUGACGCCCCUGACGACGAACGCUCCAAUCGCCAGACUUGAGGCAGGAAGAGCAGGAACUGAGAGAACCUGUCAAUCUUACAAUCAUUUAUGUAUAAAUGAAGGUGUAAAUAUGAUCUAGUGGACCCUGAGUCAUCAAAGUCUAAGCUAGCCAAUAGUCAUCAGUGUUGAAUAAUACAGUCGUCAUGAACCCUUCGCGGAACUCUUAAUCAAAACAACAAUCCUGGGAUUCUUGGG